rnacentral:lncRNA from 1 species
GCUACGUCAACUCCAACCUGCAGCUGCUGAAGGAGGAGCUGGAGGGGCUCAGCAGUGGCCCAGACACGCACCAGCCUGAGGGGUAGGGCCUGCAGCCUGGCCACUCAGCACGCACAUGUAGGCGGGGCUGCUGUGGGCAGCAGGUCCCAGCCAGUGCUUCUGGUUCUAGCGAAGGUGUCACUGUCCCCAUGAUACCCCUGGGCCUAAAGGAGACCACGGAAUUGGACUGGGCCACCCCGCUGAAGGUAAGCGCUGGCGACAACUUCUGAGUGACAGCCUUGUCCUGGUCCAGGUGUCUCUGAACAGAUGUGGAGACAGGGCCACAGGGAGGUGGGGCUGACUCGGGGCCACCAGGGACCCAGCAUCCCACCCUGGGCAGGCCUGCUGAGCUGGGACUCUGCCCUAGGAUAAUGUAAUGGGAGCCCCAGGACACCUGCAGGGACCCGGGGCUCUCCUGCAUAGGGUUCCCUGGCUCAGGCCGCCUCCCACCCGUGGAGCUGUGCUGUGGGGCCAUAGCUACCCAGUGUUUGGGAGGGCUCAGACCCAAGAACAGAGCCGUGUCCCAUCCGCCACUGCCUGGCAGGGCCCCGAGGGAAAAUGAAUUGACUUUGUGCCUCAGAGUCUGAGUCUCCAAGUGACACAUGGCACCUGCCUCUUGGGAUUGCCAUGGGAUUGAUAAGGGAAUUGUGUAAAAUUAGCACCAACAAGAAUCCACGACUUCCCACCGCAUGCCAGGCCCUCAGCCUCACAAGCCUUCUGCUGAGGGCUUCGAGGGCCCUGGACCCAUGUGGGCAGCUGGCCUGCUCAGUGCUGGGACCUUCCCCUCCCUGGGGCAGGCUGCCAAACACAGGGUGCCCGGAGGCCAACACCUGUCCUUCUGUCAGGAGCUGAUUUCAGGGCACUUUGGAGAGGACGGUGCCUCCUAUGAGGCGGAGAUCAGGGAGCUGGAGGGCCUGCGGCAGGUGGGUGGCUAUGCCCCUCCCACCUCUCCUCCUGCAGCGCUGGCACUGAAGCCUGGAAUUGGAGCCAGUGUAGCCUCGCGCAGCAGGAGGCCCUCCUCUUGGGAGGACAUCAGGGAGACAGGCACCCCAGUGUGUAGGGAAGGGCCCAGGAGCCACAGAUGGCCACGGGGUACUCUGUUCCUGUUCCCUCCUCAGAGCCCUACCUGCUCUCUGGACUCAGGCUGCCUGGCCUGGUGCCCACGGUCCCCUGGGGCAGCAUGUGCUUCCACAGGCUGAUGCCCAGGGGAUUUUUAGGGCAGUGGGGUGGGGUGGGGACUGGGCAGGGGCCCAGCCAGCUCCUGCCCUGCAGGCCAUGCGGACCCCCAGCCGAGAUGAUGCGGGCCUGAAGCUGCUCGCAGCCUACUACAGCCAGCUCUGCUUCCUGGAGGGACGCUUUUUCAGCCCUGCCCGGAGCCUCGGGCUGAUCUUCCACUGGUAGGGGCCUGGGAUGGUGGGAUACCCUGGGGAGGAGGGCCUGGUGCCAUGGGAACCACACCCAGCCUGACCCUCUACAGGUACGACUCUCUCACGGGGGUCCCUG